ACAACUUGAUUUCUGUUCACAAGUUGGUAAAACAAUUGCACUGUGUAGUUUUGUUUACUCCAACUUUCUGUUUACUUCACAUGAUACAGGACCCUUCUCUGAAGAGGCCUCUGGAUCUUGGUAAAGAGGAAGCUGGCCUAUACAAACCGUCUUGGGUGCCUUCUUCCCCAUCUUCCUCUCCUGGUUCUUCUUUUACUUUUGUGUGUGCUUUGUCUGAUUUUUGUAAUGACGACAAUGUGUCUGACAGCAAAAUUGUUGGCUUGCCUCCAAUUGUAAAUAAUUCCAUUUGUAAUAUUGUUACCACUGAUAUGAAUUACAUUUGGCAUUUAAGACUAGCACAUACUCCUUUUGCAAAUAUGAGACAUAUUUCUGGCGUCUUGGGUGCCACCUUCCCCUUCUUUCUCUCCUGGUUCUUCAUUUACUUCUGUAUAUGCUUUGUCUGAUUUUUGUAAUGAUGACAAUGUGUCUGACAGCAAAAUUGUUGCCUUGCCUCCUAUUGUAAAUAAUUCCACUUGUAAUAAUGCUGCUACCACUGAUAUGAAUUACAUUUGGCAUUUAAUACUAGCACAUACUUCUUUUACAAAUAUGAGACAUAUUUCUGGUUUGUCUUUUCCACUUGCUUCUAAACAACCUUUUCCUUGUUCUGUCUGCCCUAUGGCCAAACAAACCAGACUCCCUUUUCCUGAUAGCAGUAUUAGUACUACUAGACCAUUUUAAUUAAUACAUGUGGAUACUUGGGGGCCUUACCACACUUCUACUUCUUCUGGUUAUAGAUACUUCCUUACUAUAGUUGAUGAUUUUUCUAGGGCAACCUGGACACACUUAAUGGGAUCUAAAAGUAAUGCUUUUUCCCUGCUUAAGUCUUUCAUCUUUUUUGUUAAAACUCAGUUUA
rnacentral:lncRNA from 1 species